rnacentral:rRNA from 1 species
GAUGAACGCUGGCGGCGUGCCUAAUACAUGCAAGUCGAGCGAACAGACGAGGAGCUUGCUCCUCUGACGUUAGCGGCGGACGGGUGAGUAACACGUGGAUAACCUACCUAUAAGACUGGGAUAACUUCGGGAAACCGGAGCUAAUACCGGAUAAUAUAUUGAACCGCAUGGUUCAAUAGUGAAAGACGGUUUUGCUGUCACUUAUAGAUGGAUCCGCGCCGCAUUAGCUAGUUGGUAAGGUAACGGCUUACCAAGGCGACGAUGCGUAGCCGACCUGAGAGGGUGAUCGGCCACACUGGAACUGAGACACGGUCCAGACUCCUACGGGAGGCAGCAGUAGGGAAUAUUCGGCAAAGGGCGAAAGCCUGACGGAGCAACGCCGCGUGAGUGAUGAAGGUCUUCGGAUCGUAAAGCUCUGUUAUUGGGGAAGAAAAAAUGUAGAAGAAAAUAUGCACGUCUUGACGGUACCUAAUCAGAAAGCCACGGCUAACUACGUG